rnacentral:rRNA from 1 species
GACGAACGCUGGCGGCGUGCUUAACACAUGCAAGUCGAACGGAAAGGCCCUGCUUUUGUGGGGUGCUCGAGUGGCGAACGGGUGAGUAACACGUGAGUAACCUGCCCUUGACUUUGGGAUAACUUCAGGAAACUGGGGCUAAUACCGGAUAGGAGCUCCUGCUGCAUGGUGGGGGUUGGAAAGUUUCGGCGGUUGGGGAUGGACUCGCGGCUUAUCAGCUUGUUGGUGGGGUAGUGGCUUACCAAGGCUUUGAAGGGUAGGCGGCCUGAGAGGGUUACCGGCCACAUUGGGACUGAGAUACGGCCCAGACUCCUACGGGAGGCAGCAGUGGGGAAUAUUGCACAGUGGGCGGAAGCCUGAUGCAGCAACGCCGCGUGCGGGAUGACGGCCUUCGGGUUGUAAACCGCUUUCGCCUGUGACGAAGCGUGAGUGACGGUAAUGGGUAAAGAAGCACCGGCUAACUACGUG